rnacentral:rRNA from 1 species
CCUACGGGGGGCAGCAGUGAGGAAUCUUGGUCAAUGGGCGCGAGCCUGAACCAGCCAAGUCGCGUGAGGGAAGACGGUCCUAUGGAUUGUAAACCUCUUUUGUCGGGGAGCAAAAGACGCCACGUGUGGCGUUCCGAGAGUACCUGAAGAAAAAGCAUCGGCUAACUCCGUGCCAGCAGCCGCGGUAAUACGGAGGAUGCGAGCGUUAUCCGGAUUUAUUGGGUUUAAGGGGUGCGCAGGCGGAAGAUAAAGUCAGAGGUAAAACUGAGAGGCUAAACCUCUACGAGCCGGUGAAACUGGUUGUCUUGAGUGAACGAGAGGUAUGCGGAAUGCGUGGUGUAGCGGUGAAAUGCAUAGAUAUCACGAAGAACUCCGAUUGCGAAGGCAGCUUACCGGCGCGCAACUGACGCUCAUGCACGAAAGUGUGGGUAUCGAACAGGAUUAGAUACCCCGGUAGUC